rnacentral:rRNA from 1 species
UACAGAGGGGCGAGCGUUGUUCGGAAUUACUGGGCGUAAAGGCGCGUAGGCGGCCUUCUAAGUCGAACGUGAAAUCCCCGGGCUCAACCCGGGAACUGCGUCCGAUACUGGGAGGCUUGAAUCCGGGAGAGGGAUGUGGAAUUCCAGGUGUAGCGGUGAAAUGCGUAGAGUAUCUGGAGGAACGACCGGUGGCGAAGGCGGCAUCCUGGACCGGUAGUUGACGCUGAGGCG